CAGUCGAGAAUCUUUCGCAAUGGGCGCAAGCCUGACGAAGCGACGCCGUGUGAGCGAAGAAGGCCUUCGGGUUGUAAAGCUCUUUCGCUAGGGAACAAGAAAGGGGCGUUAAUAACGUCCCGAUUUGAGGGUACUUGGUAAAGAAGCACCGGCUAACUCCGUGCCAGCAGCUGCGGUAAUACGGAGGGUGCAAGCAUUGAUCGGAAUUACUGGGCGUAAAGGGCGCGUAGGCGGCAAAAUAAGUCAGAUGUGAAAUUCCACAGCUCAACUGUGGAGCUGCAUUUGAAACUGUUUAGCUAGAGCGUAAUUAGGGAAAACGGAAUUCCACAUGUAGCGGUGAAAUGCGUAGAUAUGUGGAGGAACACCGGUGGUGAAGACGGUUUUCUGGGUUAUCGCUGACGCUGAGGCGCGAAAGCUAGGGGAGCAAACAGGAUUAGA
rnacentral:rRNA from 1 species